rnacentral:rRNA from 1 species
GUGCACGCUGGCGGUAGGCCUCACACCUGCCAGUCGAACGGCAGCACAGUAAGAGCUUGCUCUUACGGGUGGCGAGUGGCGGACGGGUGAGGAAUACAUCGGAAUCUACUUUUUCGUGGGGGAUAACGUAGGGAAACUUACGCUAAUACCGCAUACGACCUACGGGUGAAAGCAGGGGAUCUUCGGACCUUGCGCGAUUGAAUGAGCCGAUGUCGGAUUAGCUAGUUGGCGGGGUAAAGGCCCACCAAGGCGACGAUCCGUAGCUGGUCUGAGAGGAUGAUCAGCCACACUGGAACUGAGACACGGUCCAGACUCCUACGGGAGGCAGCAGUGGGGAAUAUUGGACAAUGGGCGCAAGCCUGAUCCAGCCAUACCGCGUGGGUGAAGAAGGCCUUCGGGUUAUAAAGCCCUUUUGUUGGGAAAGAAAAGCAGCAGGUUAAUACCCCGCUGUUCUGACGGUACCCAAAGAAUAAGCACCGGCUAACUUCGUG